ACCGCUAGCCCGCAGCGCUCGGCUUCCUGGUAACUCUUCACCUCUUCUCUCAGCUCCCGGCAGCAUGGGUCCUGGGCCCGCCUCGCUGCUCGCCGCCCUCCUGCUGCUUCUCUCCGGCGACCGCGCCGUGCGCUGCGACACACCUGCCAACUGCACCUAUCUUGACCUGCUGGGUACCUGGGUCUUCCAGGUGGGCUCCAGCGGUUCCCAGCGCGAUGUCAACUGCUCGGUUAUGGGACCACAAGAAAAAAAAGUAGUGGUGCACCUUCAGAAGCUGGAUACAGCAUAUGAUGACCUUGGCAAUUCUGGCCAUUUCACCAUCGUUUACAACCAAGGCUUUGAGAUUGUGUUGAAUGACUACAAGUGGUUUGCCUUUUUUAAGGUUAGUUUUGUUGGAAGUUGGAUUUACAUUUUCAGUGAUUUGAUAUCUGAAACCUCUUCUGAUUAGUAGACCCUCAGAAUUUUAAUUUUAGAUUAAGAAGAUAACUGGAAUUGACACCAGUCUUCCUAAGAGUAGUAGUUGGUAUAAUUUUGCCACUUUAUUUAAAAUUAUGAUUUUAGUAGGUUUAAGAAAUACCAA
rnacentral:sRNA from 1 species